CCUACGGGCGGCUGCAGUAAGGAAUAUUGGUCAAUGGAGGAAACUCUGAACCAGCCAUCCCGCGUGCAGGAUGAAGGGGCUCUGCCCUGUAAACUGCUUUUGAAUGGGACGAAAAAGCCUCACUUGUGAGGAACUGACGGUACCAUUAGAAUAAGCACCGGCUAACUCCGUGCCAGCAGCCGCGGUAAUACGGAGGGUGCAAGCGUUAUCCGGAAUCACUGGGUUUAAAGGGUGCGUAGGCGGUUGUAUAAGUCAGUGGUGAAAGGCCGUAGCUUAACUAUGGGAUUGCCAUUGAUACUGUAUGACUUGAAUGAGGUUGAGGUUGGCGGAAUGUGGCAUGUAGCGGUGAAAUGCUUAGAUAUGCCAUGGAACAUCGAUUGCGAAGGCAGCUGACUGGACCUGAAUUGACGCUGAGGCACGAAAGCGUGGGGAGCGAACAGGCUUAGAUACCCCGGUAGUC
rnacentral:rRNA from 1 species